UGGCGGACGGGUGAGUAACGCGUGGGUAACCUGCCUUACACAGGGGGAUAACACCUGGAAACAGGCGCUAAUACCGCAUAAGCGCACAGGGCCGCAUGGCCCGGUGUGAAAAACUCCGGUGGUGUAAGAUGGACCCGCGUCUGAUUAGCUUGUUGGCGGGGUAGGGGCCCACCAAGGCGACGAUCAGUAGCCGGCCUGAGAGGGUGGACGGCCACAUUGGGACUGAGACACGGCCCAAACUCCUACGGGAGGCAGCAG
rnacentral:rRNA from 1 species